UCCUUUAGAAACCAAAUCUCUCUAUCCUAUCCUUUAGAAACAAAAUAUCUUACGCCAUCAAAAUAAGCAGCAGCGUCUUCAUCAUGUCUCCAGUCCCAACUCGAUCUCCUCCUCCGAUACCGUAAAUCAGGUUGUGUCAUGUGUGUAUAAUCGAGAGAUGUAGGAACAAGGAAGGUUAUGUUCCGAUGGUGUACACCUGGCUAUCUUCUUAUUGGAAACACAGGAAUGGAGAAUGGGGUUGUUGUGGUCAGGUUACUCUUGAGGCUGCUGCAUUGUACCUAACACAACCAAAGUCCGUCGUAGCUGUUUUGUUUUGCUGUUAUAAUUGUAGUUUGGUGUUUGGAUGUUUCAUUGAAAUGAGACAUUGUUAGUUACCUAUUCUUGCAGAAGUCUAUCAUUGAUGCCUACAAAUCUUCAGUAAAGAGUGUUUUUUUUUCAGUUAUGAUAAUAAUAUGUGUGUUGGCUUUUGGAUCA